CCUACGGGUGGCAGCAGUGAGGAAUAUUGGUCAAUGGGCUUACGCCUGAACCAGCCAAGUCGCGUGAGGGAAGACUGCCCUAUGGGUUGUAAACCUCUUUUGUCAGGGAGCAACGCCGGCUACGUGUAGCCUGACUGAGAGUACCUGAAGAAAAAGCAUCGGCUAACUCCGUGCCAGCAGCCGCGGUAAUACGGAGGAUGCGAGCGUUAUCCGGAUUUAUUGGGUUUAAAGGGUGCGUAGGCGGAAUGCCAAGUCAGCGGUUAAAUCGCGGGGCUCAACCUCGCUCCGCCGUUGAUACUGGCGGUCUUGAGUGGGCGAGAAGUAGGCGGAAUGAGUGGAGUAGCGGUGAAAUGCAUAGAUAUCACGCAGAACUCCGAUUGCGAAGGCAGCAUACCGGAGCGCAACUGACGCUGAAGCACGAAAGCGUGGGUAGCGAACAGGAUUAGAUACCCUAGUAGUC
rnacentral:rRNA from 1 species